UACGGAGGGGGCAAGCGUUGUUCGGAAUUACUGGGCGUAAAGGGCGCGCAGGCGGCUGCUCAAGUCAGGCGUGAAAGGCCUGGGCUCAACCCGGGAAUUGCGCUUGAGACUGGGCUGGCUUGAGUGCGGGAGAGGAUGGUGGAAUUCCCAGUGUAGAGGUGAAAUUCGUAGAUAUUGGGAAGAACACCGGUGGCGAAGGCGCUCUGCUGGACCAUAACUGACACUCAGGGACGAAAGCUAGGGGAGCGAAUGGG
rnacentral:rRNA from 1 species